CGGCUGCCUUGAGGAGCUCAGACUCAGUCUUGGAAGCAGGAGAUGGGAUGGCAAAAAUCGUCACGGUGAAAUUCCGGUGGGUGAGAAGUCGUUUUGCGAGUUCGAGGACGGGGAUGAGGUGGCCGAGGCCUGGGCUGCAAAGUAUGGCAGCAUGUGGCUGUGAGCUCGUGGUAGACGAAGGGCAAUGGCUUUAGCCAUUAGUGCACCGGUUGAGCUUUAAAAAGGAAAACAAGCAAAUCAAAAUAAUCUUUGGACAAGUUUACUUUUAGAUUAAUACCUUAAUUAAGAUUAAAAAUUAAAUUAAAUUCCUUAACCUCAUGUCCAUAUCAGCAUGCAUAUUCCAACUCGUACUUUAUUUUUAUUUUUGUUUUAGGAUUUUGUUUUGGGAUUUAGAUCCUCUCCUGAGCUAAUGGAGAUGAUCCUUCUGACCAGGCUAUAAUUAUUAUAACUUUAAAGAGGAUCCAAAUCUUAAAAAAGAAAAAAAAUUAAUUAAUUAGAAAACUAUGUUUUAUUUCAAAUAGGAUUUUUAACAAAUUCUAUCAUGCCACAUGUCAUUAUCUAAAAUUAUAAUUUUUCUGAAUAGAUUUUUUAUUAUAUUUUUAACAAAUCCCCGUGGUGCCACGUGUUAUGAUUCUGGAAGAAUUUUAUAGAUAGGUUUUCAAUAAGAAUUUCAACUAAUCUCAUCACGUCAUGUGUCACUAUCCAAGAAUAUCAAGGGAUAACUUUUUUUUAUUUUUUCAAUUUUUAAGUCGAAAAAAUCUGGACCAUUGAUGAUAUAGCCAUUACAUAAUCGAACGGCCCACGAUACACCCCAUGUACUUGUCAUUAAGAAUGAGUUCAAAAUUUUAAAGCUAUUGGAAAUUUAACGGCACCUAAAUUUAGUCGUUGGAAAUUCAACGUACAACAAUUGCCCACGUUGCCCCUAAUUCGGAUGGGUUGAGUGCACCUGCAGAGCAACUUUUUGUUCGGGUCAUUCUUGCUGACUCUUGUGUGAAAGUCCCCACGCUUGACGCAAAAAAAAUAUUAAUGUGGCUGACAUCAAAUGGACUCAGGUGCAUACCCGCGACUUCUAUGUAACUAGAUAAUAGAGAAACUAAUAGAAACUAAGACUGUUUUACGAAAUUAAAAUGAAAUAGUAAGUAAAUAUAAGAGGUUGAAAUGUUUAAUAUGUUGUAUGAAGUUGUAAUUCAACACAAACUUCAAAAUGCAAAAUGUAAAUUACCCUAAGUUUUUAAUAUCUAACCAAGAAAGAAAAGAAUUGGGUCGCAAUAAAAUCGUGGUUAGCUAUCCUUCAUAGUUUGGGUUUUUGAUGUUUAAAGUUGUUCAGAAGGCGCUUUAGUAGUCAAUUUCGAAGCCCUCAGAAACCAUUGGUCUGUUUUAAUAGGGAAAGUAUGAAUAAAGGUCAUAUUUUAUUUCCAAUUUUAAUGUAGCCACUAGUACAGAAAACACUUUGUGCAACUUAGGUCUUUCGUUGCGCAAAGUAAAAAAACGUCGUGCAAAAAUUAGCCCAACGAACCUUCAUCGCACGCCAACGGUCGCGCCAAGGCAAUGACAACAUGACACACCCCGACCCAGAGUAUCCACUAGGAUUCCGACUCGAGUCGUGCUAGCCGACACCUGGAAGAUGACGAAGCCAUAAAGUGUGAUAACGUGGAAAAAGUGAAUAAAUUUAAACCUAAGAGUGCCUAAAUACCAGAGUAUGCUAGUGAACGGGAACGAACCCACUUCACACGUGACGUUAAAGCAUAAGUAAGUACAGUAGAGUGGAUAAGGAUUUUACCCUCAGAAGUAGCCACCUAUCCUGAGAUUUGCCAAUAAUCCUCGUCGAUACGAACAUUCAACAAUUAAAACCUGGAAGGCUGCCAAACAGAAUAUUUGAGUGGGUAAAAACAAAACGUUUGAAACCAUAAUUAUCUUUAUAGUAAUCCUCUUUGCAAAACUGUAUAAUUUCUGAGAAUUCACUAUGUAUAAGUAUGAUAUCAAAUGUACGCUAACAUUAAAUCCAGAAGUAUACCAUAACACAGCAGCUCAACAGAAAUAUAAAUAAUUGUCUGCUUAAUAAUCCAUACUAGUACGCAAGUCGGAGUCACCUAUGGUGACCUGUACAACUGCACCCAUAUCUCAUCAAUCAAUGCUAGAACAUAAGUCGGAGUCACUUAUAGUGACCUGUACGACUUAUCCAUAUGUCAUCAAUCAAUUCUAGCUCAUAACGGAGUCACCUAUAGUGACCUGUACGACUUAUCCAUAUCUUAUCAGUCAAUGAUAGCUCAUAAGUCGGAGUCAUUUAUAGUGACCUGUACGACUUAUCCAUAGCUCAUCACAUAUCCCUGCACACGAGUCGGAACCACCUAUAGUAGUCUCUACGACAAGACUAGGUGUAAAUAAGUACGCUCAAGUGCUACGAUCAUGUGAAGAGUGUGUGAAUAAAUGCGGGUUACCUACGAGUCGGAACCACCUAUAGUGGUCUGUAUGACAGGACUGUGCACCUACCUUGGAUCCAAGGUGAGCAUAAAGUGCGGGAGGUGAACAUCACGUGAAGGACUGUGCCCUGGCCAUGAGCGGGAGCACUAACACCGAGGUGCAGGUUUAUGAGCUCUAAAUGAAUCUAUUGUAACAUAUAUGACUCAUGGGUAACCUGUACGAUAGUGUCGGAGUUGCCUAAAACUUACAUGUAGUCAUACCAUAACUCCAUCAUUUCUACUAAUACCAUAAACUCACAUGAACUUACCUGGGUGUCCUGCGUUCACCUUUGCACUUCAAAGCAUUCAUAAUAAUUAUGUGCAUGUAAUAUUGUUGACCCUAAAAACUACUAAGCCUACGUGGCCUUCGGUGAAUGCGGGGCGUGCCAACUCGUCGGUCGAGCUCGGCCAAGGAGUAAAUUUGUUGAUGUUGCGUUGGGUGCGCUGCUGACUUCCGAAUCUCGCGACUACGGCCGAGGAAGGAACACUCUUGGCCUUCGGGUUCUAGAGCUUGAAGACAAGGCUGCUAGUUCUGCAAAGUUCAAUAUCAAAUUCGGCUUUCAAUAUGCCGAAUGUAAUAACUUGUAACACCUCACUUCGCCAAGAAGGCUAAUGAGAUGACCUCGACCAAUAAGGAUUCAGAAAUCCUUCUCGACCGAGACUUGGAUAGAUAACCAACCGUCCUCGCCGUAGUGUUGUUGAUGCCAACGAAAGAUGCUACGAGAUCGGCUGAUUAUACGGCGACAGAGCUAUCUAUGCCAACUGAAGAUAUCAUCGGUUGCUUUCACAGUGCUGUUGAUGUCAACAGAAGAUGUGUCAGCGAAAAGAGAAAAUAAAAAUCUCAAGUUGUUGAGAGAGUUUGCGCAGGGCAGUUGUGUGUUGAAUUGGAAGUCCUUAAAUGUUGCACGGCAUCUUGUAUUUAUAGGGAUGAGUUAGCAGUUCUAUAUGUGCUUCGCGCGUACCAUCCGUAGCUGGCCACAACUUGAACCCCCUGAAGAUAAGCAUUCCAUACAAAUAAAAACUCUUGAUAGCCAUCCCAACGUCAAUUAGCCGUUUAACAAUGACCCAUCAUCAUUGGCUAUUGGCCAUUGGAUUUGACGAAACCAAGUCAAUUUGCAUAGACAUGAAACUCUUCCUAUAGCAUCAUGAGAAACCAUGCAAUAUUAGUACCCAUAUUCAUGUCUAGGUGCAUUAGCCCAUGCUGUGCUUCCACCUGAAGGAUAUGCUAAUUAUUAGCAUAUAUUUCUAUGCUAACAAUUAUCCUAAAUCAGAAUAUGCCGCACCAUUAUCUCAGAUAGCACCACUAAUCAAAAGGUAACCUUCAUGCAUGGUUAACCGACUCCAAGCAUACGUCUAAAUGCCGAGAAUCCCAAAUCAAAUCAAACUACAUAGCUCGCUUUCAAGUUGGAGAUAUAAUUUGCAUCCUAUUUAUCCCGUAUGAGAGAAUUUCAAGAUAAUUCAUAUUAAAAGAUAAUUAUUAUGAUAAAACCAUAAUAUUAUCCUUUAAUAAUAAUAAUAAAAUUAUCUUCACUUUUCCAUCCAAUGGUUGGAAGCUAUGCUCACUCAACAGCCUUGACUACACGGACCGAUGGUGUAAAUUCGGGUCCAAACAAAUAUACAUAUAGAUAAACCAUGAUGCAAUCUGAUACUCAACCAUGUUAUAGCAUUUCCAUUUACACACACACACACACACACACACACACACACAUAUAUAUAUAUAUAUAUAUAUAUAUAUAUAUAUAUAUAUAUAUAUAUAUAUAUAUAUAUAUAUAUAUAUAUAUAUAUAUAUAUAUCUCACAUUUUCUACCAAUGUCCCUCACAUUGCUUAAUUCCCUAAACAAGGCUAUUGUCUCAAUUAUUUAGUCUCAUUUAUUGUAUGGUUGCAUCUAACGUCUCGUUAGACUGCCUACGUACCCUAAACAGGGAUUAAGCCAUUCGUAGUUCACAUUAGUACUUCAAAGCAUUCACAGUAAUUAUAUGCAAUAAUCAAUUUAUAACCGUUUGUGGAAUUAUCAAUCAUAUAUAUAUACCAUAUAAAGGAAAAGACCCACUUACUUGAGGUCCACGCUAAGACUCCCUAGCACGCAUACCGAGACAUCACGAACCAUCGUCGCCUAUGACCAAUUAUCAAAUCACAUCUCAGAGUUCAUACCGAUAAAAUACACAAUUUACAUAAAACAAACCCUACGUAAUUCAAUUCGGAAGAUAACAGAUUUCCGAUCCGUUGCUUCCAAAGAUCCACAUUAUACUUCUAGAACAACAUUCUAAAGUCCCAUUACGAUCCAACGGUCGGAUCUCUGCCAAUUGUCAAAACCAAGUGGCAAUUAACCUUUUAUUUUAUGAACUUACAAAUCCAAUUCGGGAAGAUCCGUAUAUCGGAUUCCUGACCCGUAAGUUCCUAUGGUCCUCAAAUAUUACGUACUAUAACGUAUUAAAGUUUGGUGACGAUCCGACGGUUGGAUCGUCGAUUCAUACAAUGACCUAUUAACGUAACGUAGAGAAUUUAGAUUCCAACGAUCAACCUACAUCAUACAACUACCAAAAAUGAACUCGAGACAUCUAAUUAGCCUAAGAUUAACAUCAACGGCCCCGGCCACGCGCCGCCGUGGGUAGUGGUCGGCCGUCCCGAACCGCCGAAAAAUCCAACUAUUUCCAAAAAUUACUAAAAUUUACAGAAUUGUAGGUCUCAAUGAGUGAAGCAACUUUCAUACGUGUGACCAAGGCCAAUUAGGCUGAGAAACACCUCAAUUUUACAUAAAUCCGUUGGAAACCUUAAAUAGGGGCUACUUCGAUUCGACCUCCAUGCUCACUCCGACGCCUCCACAAGUGUUUGGGCUUUGUUCCUGAGGUUGAGGGGAGUCUAUUGGUGGUGGUAAUUGGAGGAGGUAGCUUCAAAUCAUGGCAGAAUAGAACCCAACCAGUGCGCCCCUUCUUGUACGGUUUUACCCAAAAUUCACCAAAUUUCCACCCAAUUUUCACAUGAAAAUGGAAAAGGGAUCGGUUGGCCUUGUGGUAAGGGUCAUUUUGACACUAACCUUGUCGUCCAAGGUGGCGAGAGAUGGGAGAAUCCACCGGGUUGGGUCACGAGUUAAGGGAAACUCGAUUUCCCCUUUUUCUUUUCUCCUUCAUUUCCCCUCCUUUCCUUCCUCUGGUUGGUCACCUUCACUCUCUCUCUUCCUUCCCUUGGCCGAAGCUCUCUCUCCCUUCCUCUUUGAUUGGGCAGCCAAUACCCCUUCUUCUUUUUCCCCUUCUCCCCCUGUUUCUUCUUCUCUUUCCCUCAAUUUUUACCAAAGGUAAUCUUAAAAUAAUGUAAUGGUACUUAAGAAAAUAUAUAAAAUAAUAAAUGGUAAUAUCAAUACCCCAAUCCGCUUUUGCUUACGCCUACACAGCCAUAUUGUCGAGUACUACAGAAAUACGCUAAAGGAAUAUUUCAUACGUCUCACUAUACGUUGGUCAACGAAAGUCAAUACCCUCGCCUCUCAGGGCAUUUUCGUAAAUUCACACGUUUAAAAUUUAUAAAAUCAUAGAACUAGGGACGGGUUGUCACACAACAUGGUUUGCACGACGAAGAAGUAACCUAUGUCACUCAAAGUAGUUUUGCACAACGUAGGUUACUUCUUUGUCGCACUAACCCUUUUUUUUGGUAAAAAUAUUUUUUAUUUAAUUUUUAAUAAAUAUUAUAAUUAAAUUCUAAACAAUAAUUAAUAAACCAAGAAAAUUUAUUUAAUUAUAAAAUAUAUAAAAAUGUAUAUACAAGAUGUCCGAACAAAAAAGAAAAAACUACAACAAGUAGUCUUCUAGGUUUGAUGCUUAAUGUUUUCUUCUAUUAUAAAUUCUCUCCAUGUAAGAUUAAUUGGUUAAGCUAAAUUAUCAAUUAAAAUGUACUUUUAUUGAUAAUUUCAGGGAUGUAACACGAUCAUCGGCAUGCCAUGCAUGAGUUAAUUCAGCUUUAAGCUCAUGCAACCGAGAAACAUAUUCCUGGCCCAUGAUGACCUUGCCCCCCUCUUCUGCAAAUUUUUCUAGAUCUUCCAGUUCCUCCAAAUGCAAGCUUGUCGAAGGUUUCUCAUGUGCUGUAAAUUCAUAUCAGUAAAACAAACCAAAGUGACUAUCAUAAUUGCUCAGUUGGGCAACAAAAAUACUUCUGAAAUGAAUACUUGUUCCAAAAAAUUGUAGGAACAAAGCAAAGGAGGCUGACAAAUUUUUCCUACCUUUUGUCAUGUCUAGGGAUGGGCAAAGGUUAUGGUAGAUGGGUAACCGUGGUUAUUUACCCAUAACCAUUUAUGUUCAUACCCGUAUAACCGUUUACCCAUUGGGUAAUACAUAAACAGUUAUACCCAUACCCAUAACCGUUUAUAAACGGUUAACCAUAUCCAUAACCGUAUACCCAUUUAACCAUAACCAUUUACCCGUUUUUGAACCCGUUUAUCCUUUUUUUUUUUACCCAUUUGCCCCUUUUUCACCCGUCUACAUGUUUUCUUUUAACAACUAGAAAAUUAUAAAAGAAAAGUUUGUCAUAAUUUUCGUUAUACCCAUGGUAUGUGCUUACCAAUACAUCGUUAUAACGGGUAUCAAUUUAAAGCAGUUUGUACAAAACCUAGCUAGUUCUGGAAUCACAAAUGCUCGGCUUUCUCCACCAUCUCAUGCUAUUUCAGAUGAUGGUAUGCAUCUGUCCUAAACUCUCUUUCGAACCUUGUCAUUAGUCCAGACCAGAUUUUGUUUUUUAAGUUUUUGUGUAAUAUGACAAUUCUUGUACUGAGGCUUCACCUCAUAGCUUUCCUUUCUACGGAUACAUGCCGAGAAGGCUCUAUGAUCUCAAUACAAAAUAUAUAAACAAAGAUGAAUUAAAGUCACUGGUAAGCACAUACCGCGGCAAUGGAAUACAAUCUGUGGCAGAUAUAGUACCCGUUAUAACCGUUAUAUAUUGAAAAUUACAAUAUAUAAACAAAGAAGACUUUCGUUACAAAAGUAAAAAACAAAAAUAAAGAUUAGUUUUUCAUAUAUUAAAUUAAAUCGGUAAAUGGAUACCCGUUAUAACCGCGGGUAAUACUCAUAACCGCCCAUUUAAAUUUCAUGGAUAAACAGUUAUACCCAUAACCGUAACCGUGAACUUUAAAUUGGUGUAACCGCGGUUACCCAAACCCAUGGGUAUUUUGCCUAUCUCUAGUCAUGUCGGACAUCUGUAAGUGAUAAGAAAAAGGAAAAUAAAAAGUUAGAAGAUAGGUUACAGCUUUCAGUGAGAAACUUAAGGAAGUAAAUAGCUGGAUGAGAAUAGAAGGUAUGGAAAACCAAAAUUUCCUAGAUAGAUAAUAGAGAAACUAAUAGAAAUUGAGAUAGCUGUACGAAAUUGAAAUGAAAUAGUAAGUAAAAGUAUGAGGUUGAAAUAUUAUAAAGGGAGUAAUGCUAGGAAGACUAAAUUUGCAGAUAAAAUUUACAAGCCAAAUUAUGUGUCACCAAUAAGAAAUAAAUAUGUUAAUCAAAACUUAAAUAAUAGUCAAAUUAUCAACAACCACAUCAUAUAAUUUACAAAAUUUGUUUUCAAAUUUAGUUUACCUAGCAUUACCCUUUUAAAAAUGUUGUAUAAGGUUGCAAUUAAUCACAAACUUAAAGAUGCAAAAUGUAAUUUACCCUAACUUUUGAUAUCUAAGUUCUAACGAAGAAAGAAAAGAAUUGGAUCGUAAUCAAAUCGUGAACUGUCCACGGUUUGGGCUUUUGAUGUCUAAAGUUGUUCACGUGGUGCUUCAAUACUCAAUUUCCAAGCCCUCAGACACCACUGGUCUGUUUUAAUAGGGAAAGUAUGAAUAAAGGUCAUAAUCAAUUUCAUCUUUUUAGUGAAGCCCAGCAAAGAUCGAUGUAAAACAAAGAAAUUUUCAAGCUUACCUAAUACCUAUUUAACAAUCCGCAAAACCGAUUUUAAUAUGUUCUUUUGCAUUAGUGUGUAUAUCAAAUUCAAACCAAUAAAGCCAAAACAAACUGAUAGCUACCCUUAAUUAAGAUUUUGUUUGAAAUUUUGUUGUAACAUUACCUUAAGAUUACCCAUUAGUUAUGCAACUAUUAGCUGAUUAUGUCUUUCUAGCAUGUUUAUUGAUAUGAUAUUUACGUAAUUAGGCUUGGCUACGGAGGCUUAUAUUAAAUCCUUUCGUUUAGGACUUAAACCUAUUUAUUGGAGAUGGUCUUACGUCUAUUUGCCAAGCUACCUGCUUCUCGUGAAUUUAACAUGAUUGUUAAAAAAAAUUGGCACUUAGUACUACAGUCUGGUGGUAUUCCUCUUCACUUAGAAGUGAGAGGUCUUAGGUUCGAAUCUCAUGAAUAGAGAAUUCGAUACUAAAUUAGGAUGCCCAUUGUUUAGCUUAACUGAACUCUCCCUUCUUUUAGUGAAAAAAAUAUCAAUGUACUAAAAAAAAAAUUGACUGAACCGAGUUAUGCAGACUUAAAAAAAAUAAAAAAUUGACUGACACAAGUUAUGCAGCAUGAAUAUUCAUCCAUGUAUGAUAACAAAAUAGAUACUUCUUUUUAAAGGGAAAUAUAUAUAUAUAUAUAUAUAUAUAUAUAUAUAUAUAUGUGUGUGUGUGUGUGUGUGUGUGUGUGUGUGUGUGUGUGUGUCUAUAUAAACUUUAAUAUUCAUAACUUCUUCAAUACUCAACGAAAUCAAGUGAUUCAAAAAUGAAAAUCAUACUUCUCGAUGAGACGAAGAGAAUGAUCCUUUUUUGUUGACAGUUAACUAAAGUUAUGAAUGUUUAAAGUUUACCUAGUUUCAGGCGAGUUUUUCAAUUUUCCUUCGGACCAAACAACUUUGCAGCUAUUUUCUGACCAUCUCCCGCAACCAUUGGGCUUCCAAAUAGGUGUAAUCUUAUUCUACACUUUCCUGUCUUCAUUUUGAUAUAUUAUGGGUCGAAUUUGGUUAAGAAACGAUUGAGUUACGAAGCUUUGAAAAUUGCCCAAACUUCCGGCCAAGAGCUCUGGGACACUUAACGGAGUUUUUAACGGAAUGACCAAAAUGAUGGAUGGUGGAAAAUCUCAGGGUCAUUUAUAUUGAUUUGAAAUCUCAGGAAUCAAAAUGAAGAGUUAUGCAAAUCUCAGGAACCAUUUUCGCGAGUUAGCCAUAUAUAUAUAUGUGUGUGUGUGUGUGUGUGUGUGUGACCAGACCAAUUGGUGUGAUUGAGAACAAAAAGAGAACAAAAUUUAUUCUGCACAUGUAAUUUGCCCAAUAGUAGAGAAUACACACCAUUUUGCCAUAUAUCUUAUUGAUGUUUAUACAUCAUCAUACAAUAUUCAAACAGAUUUUUAACUAAAAUGGUUGCUAAGAUUGACCUAAAUCCUCAAUUUGGUCACUAAUAAAGUUUGUUCAUUUUUAUUGUUAAGGACUAAACUGAGAAGUUAAGACAAUUCUCAAGAUUAUUUAGGUUAAAAUGCCUAUUGAAAACAACAAGCAUAUUUGAGAGCCUUCACAUUCUCCAACUCUCCUAGCAUUUUCUUUCAUUGCCACUUGAUAUUUGAGACAGUGCAUUAUAUGACGAACCACCUACGCUCCAUGCUUUGGCAGCACUUAAUUUAAGCCCCUUAACCCUACCUCUUAUGGCCUGACCAUCUUUGUCCACCAUGAUCUUUCUCACCAUUUCCUUUAUCUCUUCCCUGCCAACCAUUUUCUUCGAUGGUAGCACUUUUGAUCUGACGGCAACACCAAGUUCCUCAGUCAACAUUGUAGCGUUCAUCCUCUGCUCCGCAUAGAGUGGCCAAACCAUCAUCGGUACUCCAUUGGUCAUGCUCUCGAGGCUUGAGUUCCAUCCACAAUGUGACCAAAAUCCUCCUAUUGAUGGAUGACUUAAAAUGUCCACUUGAGACACCCAAAGAGGCACAACCAACCCAACGUCAUGAGUCCGGGUCAAGAAUCCUUUGGGCAAAUAGGUUGAUGGGUCAUCGUCUUGAUUUCCUUAAAUAAAAUUACUAAAUGUAAAUGAAGGUAUCGAUUGUAACACAAUAUCAAUAAUUUAUCAAAUACUACAAAUUAGUACAUUACAUAUAUAAGAAUUUCUAUGAAGAUAACAAUUAAAAUUUGAUGAUAUAUAUUAGGUAAGUUUGAAAAUUACCUGAAGUGAAAAAAGCAGCAUCUGCGGAUCUAGCCGGUGGUCGUACAACCCAAAUGAAUCUUUGUUGACUCAAUUCCAAACCCCAAGCCAUUUCUGUCAUCUGCUCCAAGGACACAGUCCCUCCACUCCCUAAUGACACAAAUAUCACAGAUUCACAAGGUUGCUUGUCUAGCCAAUUAAACAAGCCUUCAUCCCUUAUACCGGUUGAGGUUGAACCGGCUGAUUGGACCUGCCUCGUCAAUGGUCCAAUGGGAUAAACUGGCACCUUAACCACUCUGCCCAAGAGUCCCUCAUCCCGUAACGCAUCUAUUGUUUUGUGCUCCAAGUCUUCCCAUGUGUUCAUCAAAAUCCCAUCACUCUUCGGGAAAUUAGUAUCUAUCCUUACAUAUUCCAAAUAUUGUUGGUCAAUCCGGUCCAGCAUCGGGUCAACCACGUCUUCGGGCUGAACGGGCUUGCAACCCGGAAUUCUCAGCGGUUCAGUCUGGUCCACAUACUCUCCUUCCACUUCUUUAUCAAAAACUGGCACGUAGACAGUCAAGGCUACGAACCAUGCAGUGCUAGCAAUGUAAACGUACUUAGGAAUCCCCAGCUCGUCGCCAAUGGACAGAGAUUCGGUGCUGAAGAGGUCAACGAUAAGCACUGUAGGACGAAGAGAAGACUCCAUUCCAAGUAUGGCUGACCGAAACGCAGGUCGUGCUUCACGCAUCAUGACAGCAAGGAGGGUAGUGACAGCAGCAUCGGGGCCAACACAGCCGGAAAUGUCGGGCGGUGGGAGUUCAAUAAUGUCAAAAAAUUUAGGGGUGGCGGCUGCCUUGAGGAGCUCAGACUCAGUCUUGGAAGUAGGAGAUGGGAUGGCGAAGAUCGUCACGGUGAAAUUCCGGUGGGUGACAAGUCGUUUUGCGAGUUCGAAGGCGGGGAUAAGGUGGCCGAGGCCUGGGCUGCAAAGUAUGGCAGCAUGUGGCUGUGAACUCAUGGUAGACGGAGAGCGAUGGCUUUAGCCCUUAGUGCACCAGUUGGGGUUUUUUUUUUUUUUUUGAACAAUUGCGCAUGGCAGUUUGUGUGUUGAACUGGAGUCCCUUAAUGUUGCACAGCCUUCAUGUAUUUAUAACGUUGGAUAUCUACCUGGCACAACCUGAUGGUGCUUGUAGAGUCCAAUUGCAAUUCUUUUCCACGGAACAAAAACUAAUCCACAUCAAAGAACUACCAUAUCCUUCAAAUAGAUGUUCACGAUUUUCCAAACUUCACAAAAGCCUAUCCAAAUAAAAGUCUUAUCACCAUAGCCUAGCCUAUCUAGGCUUGUCAUCGUUAUCCAAGACUAUUAAAUCUUAGACUUAUCACAUCACCAUAAAAAACCAAGCCUAUCUAGACUUCUCCAUAAUCCAUCCAUGCAUGCACCAUGACUUUUCAAACCUCAUCUACCAAGUUUCUCCAAUCUAAUAGCAAUAAUCCCAAGUUCACUCGAAUUGUACUUGUUCGUAGAUAUAAUGCUAAGAUAAUCCAAAUUACAAAAUAAUUACUAUGACAAAAACCAUAAUAUUAUCCUUUAACAAAAAUAUCUUCACUUUUCUAUCCGACGAUUGAAAAAUAUGCUUACUCAACGGCCUUGAUUACACAGGCCGAUGGUGUAAAUUUGGGUCCAAACAAAUGCAUUUUAUAAUUAACUCAUUUUCCCAAUACAAAUCUCAUAAAGAAAAUGAAACAUAAAAUCAAAAGUUUGUAUUUCUUUAAUGGCCUAUUUGCUUCACUUUAACUAGCAUAUGGGCACACGCACAAUUUUUUAUUUUUGUUUUUGAAAUAGAAGAAGAGAGGAAGAGAGGAAGAGAGUGAUAGAGAAUGUGGGAGUGAGAAUUUUUUUUUUUUUUUAAUUAGAGAUGUUAGGAUUACAUGUAGGUGAUGUUUUGAAAAAAAACAACAAAAUUUGGUUUUGUGAAAUUUCAUUUUUGCCUCAUAUUUCUUAUUCAUAUUUUGUUUUAAUUAAAGUGUUAAACUGAUAAUUUCAUAGGAUUUUGGUUGACAAUGAAUGUUUUAUUAAUUAGUAAAGAUGAUCUAGGUUGCAAUCACCAAUAAUUUAAAAGAAAAUAUAAAUUUGCCCUCUCACAUAGAGCUAAGUGCAGUAUAGCGACAGCGACGGUAACACACUUGAAUUUCAUUUAAACAUUUUGUCAAAUACCUUCGGUGCAAAUUUUAAGGGACAAAUUCUUAAUGUUUCAUGAAUCUUUUUUACGACCGAAAGGACGACCGCCCCUCUUGCUCUAUAUGGCCACCGCUCAAAGAUGACAGAUAUUAACUGGCAAGGAAAGCCAAGUCUCGUGGCAAUUUUUAUCUUUAUUUGAAGAGGUGACAAAUACUUUUCUGUAGGGGAGCUUUCUGGGUGUCGUUGAUUGCGUAUUAUUUCAAGAGGCGUAUUCAUAUGAAAUGCUACUGAAGGAUCGGCAUCAGUGAUAGGUACAAUCAUAUUUAUCUCUUUCAUUCCUCUUAAAAUAUCUUUCUAUGAUAUGUUACCGAGAAAUAAAACUAUGACAAUCAGAUCAAUAAUUUUCUUCUGGUUAAUUUAAUUUCAUAUUUUCUUUUAAUUUCUUACAUAUGAGUAAAUAUGAGAAAUGUUGGAAUGAAAUUGAAUCCAUAAUCUUAUUGAUGUUUGUACAUCAUCAUACAAUAUUCAAACAGAUUUUUAACUAAAAUGGUUGUUGAGAUUGACCUAACUCCUCAAUUUGGUCACUAAUAAAGUUUGUUCAUUUUUAUUGUUAAGGACUAAACUGAGAAGUUAAGACAAUUCUCAAGAUCAUUUAGGUUAAAAUUCCUAUUGAAAACAACAAGCAUAUUUGAGAGCCUUCACAUUCUCCAACUCUCCUAGCAUUUUCUUUCAUUGCCACUUGAUAUUUGAGACAGUGCAUUAUAUGACGAACCACCUACACUCCAUGCUUUUGCAGCACUUAAUUUAAGCCCAUUAACCCUACCUCUUAUUGCCUGACCAUCUUUGUCCACCAUGAUCUUUCUCACCAUUUCCUUUAUCUCUUCUCUGCCAACCACUUUCUUCGAUGGUAGCACUUUUGAUCUGACAGCAACACCAAGCUCCUCAGUCAACAGUGUAGCGUUCAUCCUCUGCUCCCCAUAGAGUGGCCAAACCAUCAUCGGUACCCCAUUGGUGAUGCUCUCGAGGCUUGAGUUCCAUCCACAGUGCGACCAAAAUCCUCCUAUUGAUGGAUUACUUAAAAUGUCCACUUGAGACACCCAAAGAGGCACAACCAACCCAACGUCAUGAGUCCGGGUCAAGAAUCCUUUGGGCAAAUAGGUUGAUGGGUCAUCGUCUUGAUUUCCUUAAAUAAAGUUACUAAAUGUAAGUGAAGGUAUCGAUUGUAACACAAUAUCAAUAAUUUAUCAAAUACUACAAAUUAGUACAUUACAUAUAUAAGAAUUUCUAUGAAGAUAACAAUUAAAAAUUGAUGAUAUAUAUUAGGUAAGUUUGAAAAUUACCUGAAGUGAAAAAAUCAGCAUCUGCGGAUCUAGCCGGUGGUCGUACAACCCAAAUGAAUCUUUGUUGACUCAAUUCCAAACCCCAAGCCAUUUCUGUCAUCUGCUCCAAGGACACAGUCCCUCCACUCCCUAAUGACACAAAUAUCACAAAUUCACAAGGUUGCUUGUCUAGCCAAUUAAACAAGCCCUCAUCCCUUAUACUGGUUGAGGUUGAACCGGCUGAUUGGACCUGCCUCGUCAAUGGUCCAAUGGGAUAAACUGGCACCUUAGCCACUCUGCCCAAGAGUCCCUCAUCCCGUAACGCAUCUAUUGUUUUGUGCUCCAAGUCUUCCCAUCUGUUCAUCAAAAUCCCAUCACUCUUCGAGAAAUUAGUUCCUAUCCUUACAUAUUCCAAAUAUUGUUGGUCAAUCUGGUCCAGCAUCGGGUCAACCACGUCUUCAGGCUGAACGGGCUUGCAACCCGGAAUUCUCAGUGGUUCAGUCUAGUCCACGUACUCUCCUUCCACUUCUUUAUCAAAAACUGGCAUGUAGACAGUCAAGGCUAUGAACCAUGCAGUGCUAGCAAUGUAAACGUACUUAGGAAUCCCAAGCUCGUCGUCGAUAGACAGAGAUUCGGUGCUGAAGAGGUCCACGAUAAGCACUAUAGGACGAAAAGAAAACUCUAUUCCAAGUAUGGCUGACAGAAACGCAUGUCGUGCUUCACGCAUCAUGACUGCAAGGAGGGUAGCGACAGCAGCAUCGGGGCCAACACAGCCGGAAAUGUCGGGCGGUGGGAGUUCAAUAAUGUCAAAAAAUUUGGGGGUGGCGGCUGCCUUGAGAAGCUCAGACUCAGUCUUGGAAGUAGGAGAUGGGAUGGCGAAGAUCGUCACGGUGAAAUUCCGGUGGGUGACAAGUCGUUUGCGAGUUCGAAGGCGAGAAUAAGGUGGCCGAGGCCUGGGCUGCAAAGUAUGGCAGCAUGUGGCUGUGAGCUCAUGGUAGAAGGAGAGUGAUGGCUUUAGCCCUUAGUGCACCGGUUGGGGUUUUUUUUUUUUUUUUUUGAACAAAAGUGCACCGGUUGAGCUUUAAAUAGGGACAACGAGCGAAUCAAAAUAAUCUUUGCUCUAAAAUCGUUGGACAAGAUUACUUUUAGAUUAAU
rnacentral:lncRNA from 1 species